CAAAUGACUCUCGGCAAUGGAUAUCUCGGCUCUUGCAUCGAUGAAGAACGUAGUGAAAUGCGAUACUUGGUGUGAAUUGCAGAAUCUCGUGAACCAUUGAGUCUUUGAACGCAAGUUGUGCCCGAGGCCUUGUGGUCGAGGGCACGCCUGCUUGGGCGUCACGAC
rnacentral:rRNA from 1 species